GACGAACGCUGGCGGCGUGCUUAACACAUGCAAGUCGAACGGAAAGGCCCUGCUUUUGUGGGGUGCUCGAGUGGCGAACGGGUGAGUAACACGUGAGUAACCUGCCCUUGACUUUGGGAUAACUUCAGGAAACUGGGGCUAAUACCGGAUAGGAGCUCCUGCUGCAUGGUGGGGGUUGGAAAGUUUCGGCGGUUGGGGAUGGACUCGCGGCUUAUCAGCUUGUUGGUGGGGUAGUGGCUUACCAAGGCUUUGACGGGUAGCCGGCCUGAGAGGGUGACCGGCCACAGUGGGACUGAGAUACGGCCCAGACUCCUACGGGAGGCAGCAGUGGGGAAUAUUGCACAAUGGGCGGAAGCCUGAUGCCGCAACGCCGCGUGCGGGAUGACGGCCUUCGGGUUGUAAACCGCUUUCGCCUGUGACGAAGCGUGAGUGACGGUAAUGGGUAAAGAAGCACCGGCUAACUACGUG
rnacentral:rRNA from 1 species